GACGAACGCUGGCGGCGUGCUUAACACAUGCAAGUCGAGCGGAAAGGCCACUUCGGUGGUACUCGAGCGGCGAACGGGUGAGUAACACGUGAGUAAUCUGCCCUUCACUUCGGGAUAGCCCUGGGAAACUGGGAUUAAUACCGGAUACGACCACUGGUUGCAUGACUUGGUGGUGGAAAGUUUUUUCGGUGGGGGAUGUGCUCGCGGCCUAUCAGCUUGUUGGUGGGGUAAUGGCCUACCAAGGCUUCGACGGGUAGCCGGCCUGAGAGGGUGACCGGCCACACUGGGACUGAGACACGGCCCAGACUCCUACGGGAGGCAGCAGUGGGGAAUAUUGGACAAUGGGCGGAAGCCUGAUCCAGCAACGCCGCGUGAGGGAUGACGGCCUUCGGGUUGUAAACCUCUUUCGGUAGGGAUGAAGCGCAAGUGACAGUACCUACAAAAGAAGGACCGGCCAACUACGUGCCAGCCGCCGCAGUAAAAC
rnacentral:rRNA from 1 species